UGAUGCUAAGUUUCCAUGAGGAGGAGGAGGAAGGCUUACCAGAAUCGUUCCUCAGUAAUUUCCCGUCACUCAUUAAAGUGGACAUUCAUGCAAAGGUUACCGACCCCAGUGUUGCCAAAAGCAUGAUGGGAUGUCUCCUCUCAUCAUUGAAAGCCAAUGGUUCACAUGGUGCUUUCUGUGAGGUCCGGCAGAUGGACAAAAGGAUGUUGGACUUUUAUAGCAAACUGGGCUGCUUUGAAGUGGCCAAAAUGGAGGGAUUCCCAAAAGACGUUAUAAUAAUGGGGAGGAGUUUGUGAAUCUGAGCCGCUGAGAGAAAAAAAAAGCGUACAGAAGCAGCCUCCCAGAAAUUGCACAAAGCUUCGGCCCCAACACGCUACCUGUUCAUGUAACUGUCACAAGUUUUGUAAUAGCAACUCUGGUGGCCUGUAGCUUCAUUCACAUCAUAUGCUGAAUGCAUUUCUAGAAAUUUAGGUGCUGUUCAUUCACUUUGCCAGUGUGUGGUGGAAGUUUGAAAGUGGGUGUACACAUGUGCACACAUUGGUGUGUUCACAAAAGGAAAAAGAAUUGAAGUGGGUCUGCAAGGGUAAUUCAGGACGCAUGAGUUACUUUGAGUUUUUUCAGGUGGACCGUUUGCUUGAGUUGGCCAAGUGCCAUUGAACCCACUAAAUCUCUUAGAUAUGGCCGAGUUGCCAUUUGUAUUCAGCAUAUGUGCAUGUUUAAGUUAACGUCUAGAUUCUCCAGACUUAAAAACUUGCCGUUACUUGAUAAGAGACAUCUUCACUCUGCUGUUUUUAAUAGUGCUUUACAAUGUUCAAAGCAAUAAUCUAAAAGGACUUCAUAACAGUCAGGAUUUGUGUUAUUGCUUUCCAGGACAUUGUAAUAAAUUCUGCCGUUUUCCAGGUUCAAACCGUGUCUGUGAGCUCUCGUAUGGAGAACACAGCAGCCUAAAGCUAUCCUUUGAGGUUUGGGAUGCUGCUCGGGUAUUAUUUAGAAAAGAAAAAACACUGAAAUUGAACUUUGAGCAGGCAGCAGUAAAUACAGUUAAAGUCUGUUGUCUUCAAGACCGCAUGGGGUACUUUUGUGUAAGCCUUUAGCAUGUGUAUCUUUUAGGGAUACAAUUUUUUUAUUUUGUACAAAACGCCUUUUGGCUCUUGCCCUCCUCUGGAAUAUAUUUGAGGGUAAUGAAAAGUAAUUUCCUACAGUUCUUUCUUUGAUUUAAAAUGGUAAAUUAUACAAUUCUGAGACUCAACAGUGUUGCAUUAUAAUUCUGAGAUGCUGAUGUUUACCACACAAAAAAAAGUACAAUUAGUAUUGUAAACCUCAAGACCAAUGCCCUGUCUCUAAUUAGAGUGAAAACAGAAAAUAAAUGAAGGUACAUUAGUGAAUUAUCUUUAAAUAUUUUUUUCUCUGUUGUCUGAAGAGAAUAACUUUGCUUUUCUUUAAUGACAGUCUGCCUCUUUGUCAAUAUAUUUAAAAAUCCCUACAGUUGAAGUUGGGUUUCUCUGAAGUCCACUCUGCGUUGUCAGUGCUAGGAUUGUUUUCCUGAACGUAGGUGCAAAAGAAACUGGUUAUUCUGUAUUUACUCCCUUUUUAUAACAAAUUACUGACAGUGAUUUUUUUUUGUAUAAUUUUUUUUUUCUGUGCUAUAUUCUGAAAAACUAAAUAAGCACAAAAGGCUCCUGCAGAUUACCGUAUGUAAUGUUUAAAAUGCCUGAGUUAAAGUAAAAUGUAAAUAGUUUUGUGCAUGUAAUGGGCCAAAACUUGACCGUUUUUUUUCACCCCAUUUAAGGGAAAUUUGUACGCAAAAAUGGCUGUUUAUCUCUAUAUGGCUUGUUGCUUCAUUUUAUUUUAGUUGAUCACAUCCAAUGUAAAGGGCUUUUCUUUUUUUUAUCCAAUGCAUAUAUUUAAAAAUGAAGACCUUUCUGUACUUCGAUGUAAUUAUGAUUAUGUAUAUGUAAUAUAGUUGUAAUUUCUGUAAGGGUUGUAUUUAUCAUUUUA